rnacentral:tRNA from 1 species
GUUUCCGUGGUGUAGCGGUUAUCACGCCUGCCUAACACGCAGAAGGUCCACGGUUCGAUCCCGGGCGGAAACA